rnacentral:miRNA from 2 species
AACUAGAGUGGGUCAACGGGUACC